AAAUUCACUGUUUGCGCAAAUGAUAUACUCUUAACACAAUAUGGGAUUAAAAAAACACAAGCACGAACAUCUGCAACUUUAGAUGUCACUUGUCUCGACAGGCUAUAAGCACCCGCAACUUUUUCAACAAAAUCAGAUAGUCCUCCCAAAAUUUUCAAUAAAAUCCCUACUAAAUUUGAUGGUAACAAGAAAAAGAAUAACAGAAAAAGGUCUGAUACAACGAGCCAACAAACAACAAAACCAAAGUUUUCAUUCUUGUCAACAUGACUCAAUAAAAGAAACCAAGAACUUUUCCACCAACAUUCUUUCUCCUAGCCUCUUCAUGGUCCAUGAUACCAGCUGAGGUAGUCAGCACAAUGUACCCAAACUGUCGUGAAGGGAGCAAUCUAGCAGUCCAUCCUUCAAUCUCCUUG
rnacentral:misc_RNA from 1 species